CAAUUAGCGGUAAAUACAACAUAUUCUUAAGUAAAUAAGAAUAUAGAUAAAAAUAACAAAUAAGAGAAAAUAUUAGGAUGUUAUUAUAUAUAAUAUCCUUUUCCCUUUUCUUCUUAUUGUUUUUUUAUUCUAUUUCUUUUUUUACAUAAGAAUGUAUUUACUUGAUUGUAAAGCUUCUUAGAGGGACAUUGUGUGUCUAACACAAGGAAGUUUAAGGCAACAACAGGUCUGUGAUGUCCUUAGAUGAACUAGGCUGCACGCGUGCUACACUGAUAUAUAUAACGAGUUAUUAAAAGUAUAUCUUUGCAUAUAUAUAUUCUGUAUAUAUAUACAAAAGAUAUAAUUUUCCUCCACUGAAAAGUGUAGGUAAUCUUUAUCAAUAUAUAUCGUGAUGGGGAUAGAUUAUUGCAAUUAUUAAUCUUGAACGAGGAAUGCCUAGUAAGCAUGAUUCAUCAGAUUGU
rnacentral:rRNA from 1 species